rnacentral:lncRNA from 1 species
AACAAAGCCCAGUGCCUUUGCUGGAGUGAGACUGGGCUGACAUCUGUAGAAAGCAGACUCUUAGUCAGCAGGUUCUCCUGGGAGAGCAGCCCUCGGUUGCCUCCCACUCGGAUUUGCUUGCAUACCUUCCAAGCAUCUUUAUGCUUCAGCUAGGCCAUAUUACCAGGGUUACUUGACCAGGCGAGGUUAGCUUCCCAGGGGGUCACAUCCACAUGACAGGGCAUCCCACUGGACUCCACCGGUGGUGCAGGGAGAUGUUUGUGUGAAAUAAUGCACAUCUCUUGUCCAUUCUAAUAUCCUGCCCCCCCCCACACACAAGUAAGCUGUAAGCAUCUUAUUCUACCACAUAGCUCUAUCUUAGCUGAUAAGCCUUGGAGAACUCCGGCAUCCCAUGAUGCAACUGUUCCCUGCCCUAUCUCUGAGAUGCCUAUGGGAGUACAACUCUCUAGGUGCCAAGACGUAGUCCUGGUGUCUGAUGAUGGUGCCAGUGUGAGGUGGCUCCGGGUUUGGCUUGAGGAACACGCAAACAAAUACCAAGGGGCAAAGGGACCGCCAAAGAACUCACUUAUAAUUCAUUAUCCAUCCGUAGAUGGCCCCAAAGUGUUUCCUUGAAAUUAAUAUUUAGGUUCCUAUGCCUUACUUGAAUUCUGUCCUUCCCCCCAUAACUGCAGCUGUUGAUAGAUUUUACAAUCCUAAUAAAUCUGUAUAGAAGACACACAAUCCAGAUAUUUUCAUUAUAAGCCACAUGCCUAGGUUGGGCAGAUCUAGGGCUAUGCUAACUUAUUCUCCGGCUAUAAGACCCCUUGAUACUUGCUGUCUCUCCUGGCCACCUGAUUCUGGUCCAUGGCCACUGCCUGCUCCACCAUCUUCUUCCUCUCCCCAUCUCUGUCCAGAUCUUCAACUCUCUCUUGAGCCUCCAUCCCCAUCUUCCCCUUCCACUGCCCAAUCACAGGCUCUAGCCUUUUAUUGACCAGUUAAACUGGGGAGACAGUUCGCAUGGCAUCAGUUGAGUUUGUGAUGGUCUGGGCAACCACUUCUGUAGGAAUCAGUGUUAGCAUUAGGAUUCAAACCACAUCAUCUAGCCCUGCUUCAAAGAAUCUAGUGUGAGGCAGAAGCAUUUUCAGCCCAAGUAAAACUAAAAUCUGAAACAGGGGCAUCAUUCUCCCAGGAGGAAACCCUUAGUUCACCUCACCUGGGCCAGGGGAUAGGUGCGGUUGCUCUGAGGGAGCUGGGGUUUGCUUUCAGUACCCACCUAAGAGCUGAAUCUUUUGAGCUGAAUCUUUUAUCUUAUCUCUGAACCCUUCUGGAAACCUCCGGACGCUGUCUCUAACUUUCAUCUCAGCAGAGGUGAAACCCAGACCACUCUCUUGUGGUUUCACCUUCAGUUGCUGUUCCCAACAUGGGGAACAUAAGAUACAGUUUCAGAGAUGGACCCUCUGAUGGCAUAGCAAUGACUCAAGUAAUGACCCCCAAGCAAGAAAAUGGCUCCUGAGCUAGAGACUAGUGUAAGGAACAUCACACAGCUCCAGGAAAUGGGGCAAAGGGUGGGCAGCAGGAAUGUUCAUCCAGUGGGAACCAGGUCCCAUUUGCCACAAAUCAGCUUAAAGAUGGAGGUCUAACAUCCAGGAAGGAGCUCCAAUGCUCUGUAGGGAAGUGCUCCCAAGGGACCUAACACUCAGGUUGUGCUUGCUGCAGGGAGUUCCAUCCAAACUUUGAGCAAGAAAAGCAUCUGCCCUGUGGGCAUGGAUCCCACAUCCUUGAGGAACAGCCACCUUCUCUGGUCUUCGGAGUCUCGUGCUCUUCGUUCAUGAGGAUCCAUUCAUAUGCCUUCUUCACAGCUCUGUAUUUCAAUCCCGCUGUCUGCCCUUGACUUUCCGGUAAAGAAGGUGAGGUUGGCAGGAGCCCACAAUUUGCUCAGUGCAAACAUGGCCUUUGCCGAUCUGUAGCUGAGCCCGAAGUGAAUGUUUUUUGGGUUUCCUUAUUCCACCAAGAAUUGUAGUCUGUAAAAGAAAUUACUAAAAAUGAGUUCCUUCCAAAAUCGAAAACAGAUUUCCUGAAUGUUGUUCUUUCCUUGGGACAUAUGCAAAAACAUUUCCUCCCUUUUAGGGUAGUUUAUCUUUAAAACCAAAGCCAGGGCCCAUUAGAAACAUGUUGAAAAUCCUGUGUUCUAUGAGUUGAUGCUGACUAAGCCAUCCACUGUCAUCGUCCUUCCUGCCUUCCUGCCACUGCCUAGAUUUGGCCCUGAUUUCCACAUUGAAAGGGGUGUGCUUAGUGCUAACACAUGUGUGGCUCUGGGAGAGGCCGACACAGCCCGCUGCUCUUCUCUGAGCCAAGUUAAACAGCUGAGGGCAAGUUUCACAGACAUGAUUGGUUAAUGGUUCUAAUUUUUUUUUCAAGUGAUAGAAACACAGCAUUCUUGUACAGUAUAUAGAUUACCACUCUCCUGGACAACAUCAGUAACCUCUUUACAACAUUACGAAGCCAUUUGUAAAAACACAUAAAUUGUAUUGUUUAGCCAUCUUCCUGAUGUGUCAGAAUAUAUUUCUAAGUGACAAACUCUGAAUUAUUUCCAUAAGAAUAAAAGCAGGAUUAUAACC